GAAAGAAAAUUCAAUGCUUGGGAAUGGAACGGGGAGAUGGGAGCAUCAUCCCUGCGUCCACCCGAGCGCCGUGGGGCGGCCGCCCGCGGGCACAGCGCUGCCCGCCCCGGCCCCAAAGUUGGGACCGACCCCGCGGCCAAUGGAGCGAGCGGUGGGGAUGGACGGUGCGACCGAAAGCAACGAGGGGUCUCUUUAAAAUUCCCAUCCACUUCAGAUGUCUAAAGUAAGAUUGUGAUGAUUUUGUCACGGUUUGGUAAAUUUACCCCUUUAAGAGGCUUUCAUAAAUCCCAGAACACACCUUCAGCCAGAUUUGAAUAUAGAUUUAGGUUUUAAAACCCAGAAGCUGGGAACACCGCUUUAUCAAAGAGAAUUUCCCUUUAGCUUAGCGAUGUGUCGGAAUGGCUCUCGCAAAGAUCGGAUCGGAGAGGGGGAAAAAUAGGGGGAAGCCUUCAUCCCGGAGCGAUCCUACACGCACUUUGCAGCCGCAUUCCGCCUUCAGCCUCAGGAAAAGUUGCCCCCAAACAAGCAAAAAAAAAAAAAAGAAAAAAAAAAGUGGCAGCCGUAGGAACUGUUUUUUUUUUUUAAUUACUAUUUUAUUUUUAAUUAUUUUUUAAGGAAGGGAAAAAGAAAAAAAAACCAACAAAAACAACCAAACAAAACAGCCAAUGCGACCAAACCCCUUUCCGACCUCCUGCGCUCCGUUCGGAUAGCAGCUCCGGGCAGGUAUACAGAGCCGCACUAACUCGGGCUCAACGGGGAGCGACUUUUGUGCUCAGAGAACCCCCAGAUCAGCUCCCGGGAUGGAAAGGAACUGUAACUUCUGCUGCUCAGGUCUGUGGGAGGCUGGUCCCUCUUUGAACAUCUGGAGUGGUGUGUGGCUGCAUUCAUUGGAAGAGGAACCCCACGUGGAAAACCAGGGCCAGAGCUAAAGGCAGGAUUCAACUCCUCUUCACCCUUGAUGUGCUGGCCCAGCUCCAAGGAGAUGCUAAGGUAGCAGCUCAUACAACUCUGCUGGCUUUGGAAGGGAGCUUGGGAGUCCCCAGAUCCUUCUUGUUCGUGUAUUGGCUCCAGUCUCAUCACUUACAUGGAGAUUUGCUUGCAGGUAAAAAUACCGAAUUUCUGGUGCUACCCAGGAAGAGACAGCUCAUCACUCAAGAUAUCACAUAUCAAAGUGCAGGCAAACAUGCAAAUGGAAGAAAAGCGAACUCUUACACUUUUGCACUGCAGUUGCUUUUAAAAGAGAAGUUGGGUUUUGCUGGAAGAUGAAGAGCAGGAAGCUCAGUAAGAAGAGCCACAUCCAAUGUUUCAGUGAGGGACUUCAGGAACCAUCGUUCUUCCCUAAAAAUGACAUGCCUAGAUUCCUCUUGCCACCCUGGGUUAUCUUCCACGUGGCCAACAGCAGUAAUUUUCUGUGAUCUAGGAAUAUCCCACUAGGCUUUCUAUUUCGCACUGUAAAUAAGUGGUUGCUUUUAACUCACUCCUUGUCAUAAUUUCACACACUCCUUGGUGUAUCAGAGCAUAAUAAAGAAGAUCAGAAGCCACAGUGCCUGACGUGGCUGCUUUACAUGUCUGCUCAAGACAGCCCUCACCAAAAUCCUUCCUUUGAAGUCAAGAGAAGAUCCACAUGGACAAUAGAUCCCCACUAUGUACGUGACCCAGCACUCAUCAAAUACAGUAACAUGCUACAGAUUACUUCUCCCCAAAUAUUUAUUGGACCCUAUGCAUUUUUUUCUUAGCUCGAUGGUGUUCAAGUCACACAACCCCCAAGGAUACAUGGAAUUUCCCAUGCUCGCUGCUCUGAACUUCACAUCUAUGGUUGGGUUGGCAACCAUCUCCCAGGAUGAGCUCUGGACCCAUGGAAACAUCAGUACAGCUGCAUUUGGGAGCUAAGCUAAUAUUUUCCACUUUCAGUAAUAAAGCAUGUGGCAUGAUUUCCAUCCAACACAAAACCUGCGUGCGAUCCCAUGUAUUGGCAGGACCACCAGUGGGAACUGAACUGGGUGAAGAAAGAAACCAUUUUUCCUACAUUUACCAUUUUAAUUGACUUCUCCUUUCAUUUGUUCCCCUUUGGUGCCCUCUGACUACAAACGUUCAAGUGGCUGUAGUAACCCCCAGGAAAAAAAAUAGUUGUGCUAAAUGAGAUUUUUUUUUAUGUGUGGGUGUUUAAGUAUCUGCAUGAAGCAAAUUUCUACCCUCUUCUAAUCAGAAUGGGAAGGAGACCAUGUGAGUGAUGUGACCAAUUAUGACCGAGCACCCCAGAGCAGCGUCUGAAUAUUCACGUCCAAUUGCUACUUUGGUGGAACAAUUGGUUUGAACAGUUUGAAAAGGCAAUGAUGUCAAACGUGCAGCGUGAUUAAACACGGUGAAAUUACCAGCCGUUGAGCUGAAAGAGGAGCUCUGUUCACUUCCCAGAGCGAUGCUGCUUUCAAAUUUUGCUCUGAUGGGAGCAGGAAACACCAUGCCCAGGUGGCCUUAUCCCGGAGUCCCAAAUUGCUCAGUGCAGAGGUGCAGCUGAGCUUUGGAGGUAGCAUGGACUGGGAUUUGGGAUGCGUGCAGCAAGCUAAAUGUGUCCCCUUUACCCUGACCCUAAAGUAGGCACAAUCCUGUUCCUCUGGUAGUUCAUUCUGCAAGAACACCACGCUGCAUAUGUGAUCUGAAUCGAUGCUUUUUGGGGCCAAGUAUCUGGGAGCUGAACCAUCCCAACAACAGGCAAACGCUCCGCCUUCCCCACUGGCAUCAGAUGGGAGCUCUGCUGCUUUCUGUGGACAUGGUAUCAUUGCCUUCCUCACACCUAUGUCUGCAUCAUUGAAACUGCCUAUGCCCUCCCAGAAAAUAGACCAUAAAUUCCUCCCCCCCAGCUCUCUCUUGUUUUAAAAAUGUGUAUACCACAGUACGCUGUAGUUCAGUACUAACUCCAGCUUUCUGAUAAUACAGGCUCAAGCAUUAGGAGAAAUAGCAUUUUUGUCGUGGUGCAUGGAGCACUGUGCAGUUCCCAGAUGGCAGAAGGGAGCCAUGAACACACACGGGGAGCAUAAAGUAAUGCAUCCUCAGCUUCGUGCCUUGUGCUGAGCCCCUGUCAGAGAGCGUGGGCGCCGAGACCCUAUGCCUCUGGCUGCUCCAUUUGGGGCCAGCUCCAAAAACAAUCGCCCUCCUCCUGCUCCCCAUCAGGGAAAGUGAUUGCACUUGCUUGAGUACAAAAAAAAAAAAAAAGAUGUUUUUCUUAACACAUUUGUGCAAAAUGCUUUUUAAACACGAUGCACGAGCCAUACAGGAGCAAACAGCCCUUAUAAAUCCUCCCUGAAACUGGGAAACUUUUUCUUUCUCUUUCUUCUCAUUUCCUACCCAGAGGUCUGAGCUAAUUUUCUCUAUCCAUUUUUUCUUUCUCUUUCUUCUCAUUUCCUACCCAGAGGUCUGAGCUAAUUUUCCCUAUCCAUAGGGUCCCCCCACCCCCUCAAAAAAAGGAGGGGGGGAGACUGUAUUCACUAAUUAUACAUCCUGAAAAGAAUUUGGUUCAGUGUAAGAUGAUCCUAGUGAUAUGCUAAUCCUUUUUUCUGCUUGGUGCAGCCUGAAGCCUGUGUCUAACAUUUUUUUCAACUGUAUGACAAUAAAAGUUGUGGCAACAAAAGAAAUAAAUGGGCAGCUAAAGAAGGUAUAGCUGAAACACAUGGCAGACCAGUUCUCUCCUCUCCUUCUGGCUGCUCUUUUGUAGGCUCUGGUUGGGUAUCCUCAAGUCAAUAGCCGAAAGCCAGCCACCUUAGCAACUUAGUAUGACACCCAAGCCCUCUCUCUUUACAUUCAUGAAUAGUCAGCAAGCAGCAGACAAAAUAGAACUAAUCUUUUUUGACAGAAUUGUUCAAUUUUAGAGGAAAGGCUUUUGAGGCACCUUCCAUACACUUGCAGAAUAUGAGACAACAAUGGCCACGAUCACAGUUCACAAAAGGACGACCAGGGGUGUGAGCGCACACACACACACACAACAGCCAUUUCGGUGGAAUAUUGCAGCCAAAUUGAAGUUAUUGCAGGAUACGGUCAUUGUGGCAGGGGAAACUGACAGGCAAAAAAUAAUAAUAAAUAGAUGAAGCAAAAAAACCAAAACCAACAACCCUCCAUUGUUUUGUUGCUGAUUAUUAAACGUACACAUCCCGAUAAUGCGUGAUUAGGGUUAUUUGUCUUGAUUAAUAGAAGUUAAGGGAGCUGAUUAAUAUCCACUCUUUAAUUUCCUGUCAUAGGCUGAUAACUUCAUCUUUAUUUUUUUUUUCCCCUUUUUGGACCAAUGAUUCUUAUUGUGAAAUGCAUUCAAUCCAGCGGGUCCUUGCCUGCAUUUAAAGCUGGUUUUGCCAUUUCAAAAUCCUGUAACGCAGCAGCCACUCGCAAGUCUGGUGUGUGCAAAGAAGGACAUUCCUCCUUUUCCCUUCUCUCCCUUCCAUUUAAUGCAAGCCAUAUCUCUAUCUCCAAAUACACUCUGGGCAGGAAAGAGGAGAAAAUAAUAAUAAGAGGAAGAAUAAAAAUCUACCCAGUCUAUGGGCAAAAACAGAAGUUAGCAACAUGGUCCAUGCAGCUGCAACACUACAUUUAAAAUUCAGUUUACUCCUAGGAAGAGGGCUAAUCCUGCCCCUGUAAUUCCCUACAGCCAAAAUGUACCCCCCUCCCUGAGUGACAGUGCAAUGCAAAGACACUCGCACGCUUAUCUUCCCCAACCAGAUGGCCGACUUGGAUCAAUGCACACACGCCACGAUCAAUGGGAGCGAUAAAGAAUUAGGAAAACAGUGGUACAUGCUCCCAGAAAGCUUGUACACUGCAUAAUUAUUUUAUGAUUCUACACAUGGCUACAUGUGAUACUGGAGUCAAGAAGGAAAAGGAUAAUUAGAGAGCCAGAAAGCACCCGUACUGCACUACACACUUUGUCAGUCAGCAGUUCCCACUCGGCUCAAGUCACCGCCGUUAUCUUCUCUCCUGCCCUCUUGCAAAUGAAUUUCAGGAAUACGUAAAAUAUUAGGGGGAGGUGGCUUCUGGGUUACAGACACGGGAUGUGGGAGAUUACCAUGUCCUGUGAUACGACAGCAAAAGUUUUUGGCUGAGAGUCGGGGUUGGCUGUGGGCACUGGGGUGGUAUCUGAGGGGACACUGCAAUGGACGGUUUAUACAUUUGAGGGCUUUGUCAUGAGAGGGACAUGUCCAAAGCUGGAUGUCCCAUUCAUUUAAUAAAAUAUAUAUAUUA
ensembl:lncRNA